CCCCUUAGAGUUUGAUCAUGGCUCAGAUUGAACGCUGGCGGCAUGCCUUACACAUGCAAGUCGAACGGUAACAGGUCUUCGGAUGCUGACGAGUGGCGAACGGGUGAGUAAUACAUCGGAACGUGCCCGAUCGUGGGGGAUAACGAAGCGAAAGCUUUGCUAAUACCGCAUAAGAUCCAAGGAUGAAAGCAGGGGACCGCAAGGCCUUGCGCGAACGGAGCGGCCGAUGGCAGAUUAGGUAGUUGGUGGGAUAAAAGCUUACCAAGCCGACGAUCUGUAGCUGGUCUGAGAGGACGACCAGCCACACUGGGACUGAGACACGGCCCACACUCCUACGGGAGGCAGCAGUAGGGAAUUUUCCACAAUGGACGAAAGUCUGAUGGAGCAAUGCCGCGUGCAGGAUGAAGGUCUUCGGAUUGUAAACUGCUUUUAUAGUUGAAGAUUAUGACGGUAAGCUAUGAAUAAGGACCGGCUAACUACGUGCCAGCAGCCGCGGUAAUACGUAGGGUCCAAGCGUUAUCCGGAUUUAUUGGGCGUAAAGAGUUGCGUAGGCGGUAGAGUAAGCAAAUAGUGAAAGGAUGUGGCUCAACCACAUGAACAUUAUUUGAACUGCUCAACUAGAGAGUGGAAGAGGUAGCUGGAAUUAUUAGUGGAGGAGUAAUAUCCGUAUAUAUUAGUAGGAACACCAGUGGCGAAGGCAGGCUACUAAACCGUAACUGACACUGAGGCACGAAAGCGUGGGGAUCAAACAGAUUAGAUACCCUGGUAGUCCACGCCCCUAAACGAUGCUUACUAGCUUGUUUAGAAGUUAUUUCUGGGCGGCCAAGCGAAAGCGAUAGUCAGCCCACCUGGAGUAGUACGCCCGCAAGGGAUGAACUCAAGUAGUCGACGCGCUCCGCCCAGCCGAGAAGCAUGUGAUCUAGUCGAUGAUCGCAGAUUCUUACUAACCUAGGAUUUGCGUAUAGAGG
rnacentral:rRNA from 1 species